AUGUGUUUUUAAACUCGUGCAGACGCAUGAAAUGUGUUUAAAAAGUUGAGACUGGGCUCCGCUUUGGACCCACAUGAAGCGCUUCUCUUCGUUUCACGCUCUCAGGCCAGACGUCACAACAUGUUCCUCUCAAAAGAGCGAAGCGGAAGCUUUUAUUUAACACCAUCUCAAAAGCAACCGAAGCAACUUUACACGGCGAGCAGGAAAACAUGAAUUCAGCCCAUCCCACUAAAACAUGCAUCUAUAAAACAACACGUCUCCGCAAAGUCGCUCAGCUUUCACAGAAUCACUCAGAAGGAUGAGGUGCGUUAGGAUCUUCCUCAUCGUCUCUCUGGUCGUCCUCAUGGCCCAACCUGGAGAUUGUUUCUGGAAGUCUUUAUGGAAAGGAGCCAAGGCCAUAUUUCACAGCGUUAAUCAGGAAUCUCAAGGAAAGAGAGAGCAACAGAAACAGGAGAAAAUGGAAAACAGCAGGCCAGGGAAAUCUCAACUACAGGAGAAACGCUGAAUCUCUUCUGCUGCUGAAAUGAAAAACUGCAGCUUUCUGCUCGCUUGGUGAAGACGGAGAUAAAACUCAUCAAUACAUCAGCCAAUAGCAAGAUUAAUCGAUUAGCUUGAAGCAUGGCAUGCAGCAAGGAUUUUCUGCACAAUUCAAGAAAUUUUCAAAUAAAGCUAAAUGUGCUUAUUAUGCAAACAUUCAUGAAUAAACACGCAAAACAAUAAA